rnacentral:lncRNA from 1 species
AGUAAGUUUAUGCCUUUUUUUUUUUUUAGGCUUAAUGAUGUGUUUCGUCAUUGCAAUUAGACGUCAUUUAAAAUUUAAUACCCUCAACCGUUGGGUACACAAUAGCGGCGUACGGCUCAUCUGAAGAUGUGAUUGCAUUGCAUAAUCGUUGAGAGCACGUUUCUCAGCCAUAUCGUUAUUAUCUUCUUUGAGUCAUGCCUGAAAUCAAAACGGUUAAAGAUAGAAAAUAAAAUAUAAAAUAAAAUAAAAUAAAAUAAUAAAAUAAAAUAAGGAGAAAGGGAGGGAGAGAGAAAGAGAUAACACACUAGUAUUUAGACCCGUGCAUCGCACGAGAAGUUAGAUAUGUCAUUGAUUAAUAAAUAAGGUAAUCUUAAAUGAAACAAUAAUAGUUGUAAGUGAGCAUGAAUUAACGUGUCCAAAAUAAAACCAAUAAUAACUUGUAGUAAUUUAGAAUUCUCGUUAUCACAUCGGAUAGACAAAUAAAAAUAACCAAAUGCAACUACUAAUAUAAAUUUGUCUUGAGUAAUAAUAUACUAAUUUGUGGAUAAUAAAGAUGUAUCAAUUCUCAACAAUUGAAUCGGUAAAACUCAGUUUUGUGUCCAUAACUUUUGUUGAUUCCAAAUAAAAAAUUCAUCAUAAAGAUGAUGAUCAACCUGACAUGAAAUAAAAUAAAUUUGAAAUAAAGCGAUUACAAGGACUAAUUUUUAAAUGACGCCUAAUUGCAAGGACGAAACACAUCAUUAAGCCUUUUCUUUAAAACAUUCAUCCAUAUUAAUAAAAUGGUCACCCUUUGGUAUCUUAUUUGAUGAAAAAUGAACCGGAGUUACUAAGAGGCUAGAGGAAGAGUCUCUUGAGACGACCUAUCCGGUUUGCAACCCUUUUGCUGCUAAGAAAGAAAAGGAAAGUAAGUUCGUAAUGACCAAACCGCUUGUUGCUGAGAAGUGUCCUGUGACAUCUGACUCGCUUUUUGUGAUGUCUGACCCGCUUCUUGCUGAAAGUAAGUUUGUGCCUUAUUUUUUUUAAAACAUUCAUCCAUAUUAAAAAAUGGUCACCCUUUGGCAUCUUAUUUGAUGAAAAAUGAACAGGAGUUGCUAAGAGGGUAGAGGAAGAGGGGCCUCUUGAGACGACCAAUCUGGUUUGCAACCCUUUUCCUGCUGUGAAGACCAACAUUGCCGACAAUCAUACUUUGCCAUUUCCCAAGCU